UAGCAUCGCUCUCUCCACUGCUAAUUGAAACCUCUUGUCCAAUAGUCUUCAAGGGAAAAAGAACAACCUUAUUGACUUAUUGGUACCACCGGAAAAAAAAAAAAAACAUUCAGUUUUAGGGUACCGAAGUUUUAAAGAACAACCUUAUUGACUUAUUCGAAACCAUGCUUCUCCUCCUCCGAAAUCCUCAAGGUACCGAAGAAGAUCUGUCUUAGCUCAAAACGACACCGUCGAUGACAGCACCCCUCAUGUUCCUUUGAUUCUUCCUCUUCUUACUCUGAUUCCUCCAGAUCUGUGGAUUUCUUUCACACCAACAUUUGAAAACCUUUGUUUGUUUGGAGUUAAAAAAUUAACUGUCAUUUAUUUGUUUUUGUUGGUGUUCUUUGAAAGGGAUUUGAGAAACCGAAGUUGAUAAGGUUAAUGGAUCUAGAGAAAGCAGCUAUGAUGUUCUUCAUCUAAAGCGGAUAUGUCGAUCCCCCAUGACGUUGCUACUGUUAGGACUACAAGGCCUUAAGUAUUGUGGUUACAUUGCAGUUAUGAAAAUAGAGAUGGAGAAUGAGGAGUUAAGCCCACCUUCUCAACGUUUUGACCCUCCUUGAAUAGCACCAAGGUGUUGCUAAAUCUCUAAACAUUCAUCCUUGCCUCUUUAGUCUAUUGUCUCGCUUGUGUUCAUAUUGAAGGCUACAGGAAAAAAGGAUUAUAUGUCACAGUCUAGAAAAAUUAGUAGAGCCUUCGAUAAUAUGAUUACAACACAGAUAUCUACUCGACAACCAUCUCAAUCACCAUCACAAGAAACAUGGACAACUCCACAUGAAACUCUGUUAAAAUGCAACUUUGAUGCAGGACUACACCCUCCAAGUCUACAAUCAACAGGUGGAUGGAUCAUAAGAGAUAAACAUGGCCAAGCACUCACUUGGGGUUCGGCUCGUUUAGGUUUUGUCCUAACUCCCCUAGAGGCUGAAACAAGAGCUUUAUUGGCGGCUAUUCAACAAUGCUGGAUUCGCGGAUACACUAAUGUUUGCUUCGAAGGAGACUGUCAAACCCUUAUUAACAUCAUCAAUGGAUUGACUUCUAAUGCGGCAUUAUCUAACCUUAUACAAGACAACUUAUUUUGGUCUUCAAAAUUUAAAUCUGUGAUGUUCUCAUUUACUAAACGUUCCUCUAAUCAAGCCGCUCAUAGCUUAGCAAAAUAUGGCUGCAUUUCCUCUAUUUUUUAUUCUAAUUUUGUAUCUCAGCCCUUGUGGCUAAAGAACAAUCUCUGUAAUGAUUUCAGAAAUUAAUAUAAUUCUUUUCGA